rnacentral:lncRNA from 1 species
UAAUAUGUCUUUCUUUUAAUUUUUUUUCAGCAAGAUCUAUGUACGUUCUUGAUAUCAAGAGCCUGUAAGAACUCAACACUGGCUAAUUAUUUAUACUGGUACGUGAAAAUAAUUUGGUUUUGUAUCACCCCUUUGAACUAUAUUUCCUAUGCUGUAAGCACAGAUGAUUUAAGAUGAAGGCCACCUCCAAGUGCCUAGGUGCCGUGCUCCUGCCUCCCGUCUCCUAGCUGUGUUCACAGAAGUCAGUGCAAUCGUAGUCUUUCUAACGCUAAGUUUUCAAGAGCUAAGAUGCAAAUGACUAUGGUGGCCCCCAUCUCCCUCGGUGGGUCUGCUUUCCUUUCCUGCUACUUAAGUAGUAUAUAACACUUUAUAACUUUUCAAGAGUGCAUUUUUACGUUAUUUACCAGACGACUAGAAUGCUACAAAAAUAGAAAAUUGAAAUUAAAAAUUACCUUCUCUCAUUUUAAACAUGAGGAGGCUGAGGCAGAAGGAUGCUCUAACUGAACUUGGCAGGCAUUGGUUAGGAUAGACACUGCCAUUUCUAGAGGAGUCCAAGCAACCAUUUCCUCUCUUCCCUGUGUAGUUAGUUAUAGGAGACAAGGAUAACCAUGAUGGUUUACAUGAAAACAAUGAGGUACAGAGAGCCUCCUUUCUGUACCAAGGUAGUAGGAAGUGUGGCCGUAUUGUUGAGGACAUUGACUGAGUGGCAGCGAUCCCUGGGCUUGUGUACUGACGUGUGAGUCCUGAUCACGUUUACAGAGGAUCUUAGGGCGCAGCCUCUUGGGUGAGCCUUCUGGAAACCUGAGCUGUUAACUAUAGAGAUGAUCUCUGACUUUGUCUUAUACUUAAUGUGUGGUCUUAACUUAAAUGGCGCAAAUUAAUAGAUGUUCCAUCUAAAAAUUCCUUAUUUUUUAAGAAUCAUAAGACUUGCUGUUCUUAAGGAACUGAAAAUGCCGUCUUAUUUCAGCCUGGGUCUGAAGAGCCUGAUGUUUUAGCUUGAAUGAAACUUCAGCCCAUUCUCCCUUUCUCAAAAAGAAAUGGAAUCUGAGCCCUCGUAAAGAGCACAGAGGCCCGGUCUGCAGAAGCAACGUUGUCUAAGCCUUUAUGGUGUUUUCCUACCAUAUUGAUAUCAAUUAUUUUAAUGGCAUCAGUCAUUUUCUCCACUGUACCUGUGAGUUUUCCACACGCCCAAUGGCUGAGCUGCUAGAAGCGAAAUAUCUCUAUGUAUCUACUUCAGCAGUUGAAUGUAAUAUUCAUAAAACUCUAUUCCCCUCACAUGAAGCGUUGGGAUGCCCUUGAACAUGCAUUGCAGAACACUGUGGUUGGUUUUAAGUACCAGUUUUCCUUCUAAGAGUUCACUUACAAAUUCUCAUCUUGCCAAAUUGCUAUUUUGAUUUAAUAGAAACCUACGGUUAAUGGUUUUGCAUUCCUAUCUGAAUUAUUUAGUGUGCUUCUGUUCGCACCAUUAU